UCUGAUCUGGAUCAGUACUGGUGUAGAGGACAGAGAGAUGAGAGACCAAACUCAUCACAGGAGAGUAACCGAAUUCAUCUGUCUGUUAAUGUCUCAGAUGCUUCAUCUUCUCUUCUGGUCACUGCUGUGGUUGUGGGAUCGAGUGUUUGCUUGUUGAUCUUCAUCUCACUGCUGCUGCUGUGGAGAUACAAGAAGAACAAAGAUCAGCAGCGUAACAUUAACCAGACAUCAGUCCCAAAUCAAUCUGCAGAAUCUCAACCAGAAAACUCUCCUCUACAGUCUGGUCAGCCUCACUAACUAAUCAUUUAAAGUCAUAGUCUUCUGUGGAUAUUUUCAAAAUUGUCUCAGUUGCUUUAUUUUUCCCAUACAAUUAAAGUCCCAAUGAUGUUUGAACACCAGCAUUCUUAAAAUUUUAUUAUUUCCAGCAUGUUCUGAACACUUU